rnacentral:rRNA from 1 species
CGCCUGCCCUGUGACUAAAAGUUCAACGGCCGCGGUAUUUUGACCGUGCAAAGGUAGCGCAAUCACUUGUCUUUUAAAUGAAGACCUGUAUGAAUGGCAUGACGAGGGCUUAACUGUCUCCUUUUUCCAGUCAAUGAAAUUGAUCUUCCCGUGCAGAAGCGGGAAUAUAACCAUAAGACGAGAAGACCCUAUGGAGCUUUAGACACAAGACAGAUCUUGUUAAACACUUCAAAAUAAAGAAACAAACUAAAAGAACCCUGCCCUACUGUCUUCGGUUGGGGCGACCACGGGGAGAUAAAUAACCCCCACGCGGACUGAGAAAACAGUUCUCACAACCAAGAGCUACAGCUCUAAUCGACAGAAAAUCUGACCUCAAGAUCCGGCAACGCCGAUCAACGAACCGAGUUACCCUAGGGAUAACAGCGCAAUCCCCUUCUAGAGUCCAUAUCGACAAGGGGGUUUACGACCUCGAUGUUGGAUCAGGACAUCCUAAUGGUGCAGCAGCUAUUAAGGGUUCGUUUGUUCAACGAUUAAAGUCCU